rnacentral:rRNA from 1 species
AUUGAACGCUGGCGGCAGGCUUAACACAUGCAAGCCGAGCGGAGAUGAGGUGCUUGCACCUUAUCUUAGCGGCGGACGGGUGAGUAAUGCUUAGGAAUCUGCCUAUUAGUGGGGGACAACAUUCCGAAAGGAAUGCUAAUACCGCAUACGCCCUACGGGGGAAAGCAGGGGAUAUUCGGACCUUGCGCUAAUAGGUGAGCCUAAGUCGGAUUAGCUAGUUGGUGGGGUAAAGGCCUACCAAGGCGACGAUCUGUAGCGGGUCUGAGAGGAUGAUCCGCCACACUGGGACUGAGACACGGCCCAGACUCCUACGGGAGGCAGCAGUGGGGAAUAUUGGACAAUGGGCGGAAGCCUGAUCCAGCCAUGCCGCGUGUGUGAAGAAGGCCUUUUGGUUGUAAAGCACUUUAAGCGAGGAGGAGGCUACCUGGAUUAAUACUCUAGGAUAGUGGACGUUACUCGCAGAAUAAGCACCGGCUAACUCUGUGCCAGCCGCCGCAGUAACAC